UUGCUCGCCCUGGCUGACCUGCACAGGCACUCACACACACCGACACACACACACCGCACAGACAAACCCUCACUGGCGAUCGCUGUACUCACCCCUGGCUGUGACGCUCACUGCUGCUGUUGCUCCCUGUGUUAGGAAACGUUGGUGAAUCUGGCCGGCCUCCUGUUUAGCCUCUUCCUCACGCCCCUGGUCACCGGUAACGCACGUCUAACCUACCUCCUCUUCGCCCUCUUCACCUCCCUCCACCUCUACGCCAAUUACCGGGCAGUGCGAGGGGUGGUGAUGGAGACCCUGAACCGCGCCAGGCUGGGCAUCGUGCUGAGACGCUACCUGAGAGAUGGCAUCGUGCCCAACCCGCGCUCCGUCAACCAGCAGGAGCCGUUACUGCCCGGGUUACACCCGCGUUCCUCUAUCAGAAUAGGAGCUCCGCUGCAUUACGUCAUUCGCAGG